CGGGGAUGAGAGGGCCCAGCAGGCUGCCCUGUGCUGUGAGUGAAGGGAGAGUAGCGUCUUUUUCCAAAGAUAACUCGAGGUGUUGCCCUCCGGCCAACGAGAAUAUGAGCCGACCUCUGUGCUGGGUUUCGGGGCCACCUCCAGGCUGCAGGGACGGGUGUCGCCCACCCCCUCGGUUUUCUCUCUGCCUUGGUGUCCUGGCUUCAGACUCCCCCUUCCAGUGGAGACCGGAGUGCCUCGGUCCCUCCCCAGCCUGGGUCUUCUCCUGGCCCUGCCGGCUGGGCUGAGGCCUGUCCUUGGUUCCUGCAGGGUGGGGCGUCACCAUGUCCCUGGCCUUGCUGGAAGCACAGGGCUGUGCUGACCUGCAACCAUCUGUGAGGCCCGCGUGGGUGGGAGGGGAGGGGGCAGGUGGCCUGGAGAGGGGGGCUCAGGAACUGGGACCUCGUGGCCUGGCGCGGCUCUGCAGGGGCAUCGGUGGGACCCUCACUCAGGCCUUCUCUCCGCUACCAGUGUGUCUAAAAGACUUGGAACCUGAGAACCCUGAGUCGCAGUGCCCUUGGUCCCGGGCCAUACGCAGGCCCUGGUGGGACCACCCAGCCCGGUGGUAUCCAGAGACAGCGUGCUCACCCAGAGCCUUACUUGGGAGCCUCACUGAACGCCCGCUCUGGUUGACGGUGCGGGGCUGAGGGCCUCCCCGGCUCAGCCCCGUGUGGCCCGGCGCGCCUCCCGCAGGCUGUCCCCCGUCCAGUGGUGCAGGGCUCUCUCAGGUUGAACUCGCCUCGUUUGCACUGGAAGGCCCUUCCUUUGGCCUGAGAACUUUUCCUGUUCACGCCUCAGUCCCGUGGACCCAGCCUUUGUCAGUAGCAGGUGCCUGAACAGCAGCCGGGUGGGGGAUGCAGGAGGGGCCUCGUCUUCCCAGCAGCGGUCUAGCAAUGGAGCGGGGAGUAGGCGUCUUCUCCAAAGGCUUUCCCCACCUGGAGCAGGGGAGUGUGGGCUGCCCCAGCAGGGGCUCCUCGGUGGGGAGGGGAGCUGCCUGGGGGGUUGGGCUGGGAGGCAGCGGCUCAGAGGGGCAGCGUUCCAGCCUUUGUGGGGAAGAAAGUGUCCAUUCUUUGCCUUCCUGGAGCUUCUAGCCAGAGCUGAGCUGAGGGACUGGGUGGAGGCUGCAGCUGAGUCUGCUCGAGACAGAGACUGGCGGAGGUUCCAGAAGCCUCUCAUUCCCGCUCCCCUCCACCCCUGCCUUUUAGCAGUGUGGAUCCCCAGAGGUGUCCUCUGUCCAGCCACCAUCCUGAGGCAGAGUGGUGAGCCUCACACCUGUAACAGGCCCCUGGUUCCUCCCAGGCACUGCCGGGUGCUCUGGGGCCCAGUGGUGGGAGCGUGAGAGACCCCACACCAACACCCGGUGCCUUCUGCGGCCAGUGCCCGUCCGUGUGCGCCCAGACACUCGGGAAUGCCCGCAGCUCCAGAGGAAGAAGCCCAGGGCCGGGGCCUCGUUUUCGGGGGCUCGGCUUCUUCUUGGCAGCCCUGCCAUUUCCAGCUCUGGCUGGCUGGCUGUAAAGCUCUGAGCGCCCCCCCCCCCCCGCCCCGCCGGACUGCCAACCUCUGAAAGCAGAACCCUGGCUUCCCCAGCCCCUGCAGCCUUCCCCACCAGCCUUCCUGCCCCUCCUCAUCGGCUUUGGGGUUGUACAGCCUGUGCUGUCGGUUCGAAAAGGUGACGCGUGAGGAGUGUGGCUCAUUACUCAGUGGAGAGGCAGAGUUUCUAUUUUACCAGACCUGCAGUAGUAUUACCAAUCUGGUUCAGUUAAGGUGAUUUUUUUGUAAUUAUUACUUUGGUGGGACAAUCUUUAAUUUUCUAAAGAUAGCACUAACAUCAGCUCAUCAGCCACCUGUGCCUGUCCCUGGCUCGGCCCGGCUGGAUGAAUCGGCUUCCCCGCAGGCCCCCCUUUGCAGUGGCUGCUUCCUGGGCCACCAGGGCACCCUGACGCCUUCAGGCGAGUUCCUCAGCUGGUCACCUCCUUGCUUUGCCUUCUGAUGGGGCUCCUGAGGCUGAGGAGUGAAGAUGCCGCAGGGCUGGGCCACCCUAGGCUUUGUCAGGUGUGUUUUGGAAGCUGGCCUGCUGGGACCCUCCACCCUAGGGCCUGUGUCAGCUACCGGCCCUCUGCACCCUGGAAGCACACGGGCUCUGGGAAAGACAGCCCUGAUCUUCGGUGUUCCAAGUCACGGUGUUCCCCAAGAAUUCUGGGCUGGUGGCUUGAUGGCCGUGCUGGAGAAGACCCUGAGCCUUUCCCCGUGGGUCACCCAGGAGGGCCUGGCCAGCAUGUGCAGCCUGUGGGUGGCCGGCUGACGUCCCCGCCGUGGUCAGGGUGCGUGACCUGGUGCCCAUCCACGCAGGUGUGUGGCGUAAACAUGGAUGUGCUGUACAGACGUGUGUGGAGAGAGCCGCACACCAGGGCCGCAGAGAGGCGGAGCAGUUACCAAUGUUUCGUGUUUAUUUUUAAUCAAGACGUUUCCCGUUUUCCUAUAAAUUUGCUUAGUGUAAGCAAGUACAUAAGGACCCUCCUUUGGUGAAAUCCGGGUUCGAAUGAAUAUCUCAAGGCAGGAGAUGCAUCUAUUUUAAGAUGCUUUGGAGCAGACAGCUUUAGCCGUCCCCAAUCCUUAGCAAUGCCUUAGCUGGGACGCAUAGCUAAUACUUUAGAGAGGCUGACGGAUACAUAAGAAAGUAACGAUAAGAGAAAAUGUCUAAAGCAUCUGGAAAGGUAAAAAAAAAAAAAUCUAUUUUUGUACAAAUGUAAUUUUAUCCCUCAUGUAUACUUGGAUAUGGCGGGGGGAGGGCUGGGACUGUUUUGUUUCUGCUUCUAGAGAUUGAUGUGAAAGCUUCCUCCGAGAGACGCCAGGGCAGGCGAUGGCAGAGGAGAGGGCCCCUGUGACAGCGGCCAGGCUUGGGAGGAAACCGCCGCCGGGGACAUCUUCCUUGGGGACAGGAGGGUGGGCCUGAGGCUUUCAAGGGUUUUCUUCCCCUUUUGAGUGAUUUUUAAAGCCUUGCUCUGUUGUGUCCUGUGGCCGGCCUUCCUGUGACUGUGACUGAAACGGCUUCCCCAUACGAUCGUCUGAAACGUGGCGGCCGCAGGUGCCGGGGUCUGAUGGACAGUGGCAUAGAAUUGUGGAAAAAAAAAAAACACGCAAAGGGAGACAUGUGAGAGAAGAAACAAAAUAUGAGUGUUUAAAAUACAUCGCCAUUCAGUUC